GACGAACGCUGGCGGCGUGCCUAAUACAUGCAAGUCGAGCGAGCGGAACUAACAGAUUUACUUCGGUAAUGACGUUAGGAAAGCGAGCGGCGGAUGGGUGAGUAACACGUGGGGAACCUGCCCCAUAGUCUGGGAUACCACUUGGAAACAGGUGCUAAUACCGGAUAAGAAAGCAGAUCGCAUGAUCAGCUUUUAAAAGGCGGCGUAAGCUGUCGCUAUGGGAUGGCCCCCGCGGUGCAUUAGCUAGUUGGUAAGGUAACGGCUUACCAAGGCGACGAUGCAUAGCCGAGUUGAGAGACUGAUCGGCCACAUUGGGACUGAGACACGGCCCAGACUCCUACGGGAGGCAGCAGUGGGGAAUAUUCCGCAAUGGACGAAAGUCUGACGGAGCAACGCCGCGUGAACGAUGACGGCC
rnacentral:rRNA from 1 species